GUACGGGAGGCAGCAGUGAGGAAUAUUGGUCAAUGGGCGCAAGCCUGAACCAGCCAUCCCGCGUGAAGGAAGAAGGCGCUAUGCGUUGUAAACUUCUUUUUCAGGGGAAGAAAGUUCGAUACGCGUAUUGAAUUGACGGUACCUUGAGAAUAAGCAUCGGCUAACUCCGUGCCAGCAGCCGCGGUAAUACGGAGGAUGCGAGCGUUAUCCGGAUUUAUUGGGUUUAAAGGGUGCGUAGGCGGAUGAAUAAGUCAGUGGUGAAAACCUGCAGCUUAACUGUAGAACUGCCAUUGAUACUGUUUGUCUUGAGUACGGUCAAGGUAGGCGGAAUGUGUAAUGUAGCGGUGAAAUGCUUAGAUAUUACACAGAACACCGAUUGCGAAGGCAGCUUACUGGGCCGCAACUGACGCUGAUGCACGAAAGCGUGGGGAGCGAACAGGAUUAGAUACCCGGGUAGUCGG
rnacentral:rRNA from 1 species